UGUUUGAAAAAACAGGAAGGAGCGUUACUCCCUCCUCACCGACCAUAUCAAGAGGAAUAAACACGCUCACACCAAGCUUUUAGGAGGAACAAUACGGCCUGUGCUGGGUGGUCGAUGGCGGCUGUGCGUGACUCUCCGUAUGCAAACCCACAUUGUGCAAGUAAAAAAGAAGCAGCUGGCAACCACACACACGUCGUGUGUUAGGAUUGCACUGGUUCUGGUGCCAGCCUGGAACACUAGAUGCAAGGUAAAAAAAAAUAAUAAUAACACCCUGGAAAGGGCAACAGCAAAUCACAGGAUGACACUUACUGUUAAACCAUCAGACCUGCCACUGUCCCAACAUCUCCAGAAAUAAUGAGUGUCGUGGUGGGCUUGGUUUCCUUGGAAUCACUGGGCGCAAUGCAGCACUCCCCGGACAGGACGGCAAUCCAUCAGGGGCCUCGGCCAUCCGGCCACCUUUUUAGGCAUAGCCAAUUAUGUCUGUAUAGAGAUGCCAAUGAAUCCCAGCAGUAGUAGGUUUCCCACUGCAAUAACCAAGUUCCUGAUGUUAUUUUUAAUUGUAUUAUUAAUAUUGGAUAGUGAAAAUGAAUUAAUGAAUUAUUAGAGUAAUAAUUAAAGUUAAAUUAGAAGCAAAUAGAAAGAGGAAAUAUAAAACGCACAAUCAAGAUUUGCCCGUGUAACCUGUUACAUUCUGAUCAACUUGAUUACUGAUCUUACACAUGCAUUUAUAAUCUGAUGUCUUCGUUUCUCUUUUAUUACUAAAAUGCGUGAUAAAGGUCCACUUUUGAGGAACUAUAUUUGUGGUGGAAGAAAUUAUUCAUAUCACACAUCUAUUUUAAACCAUGCUGUAAACACACGAGGCUGUUUCUUCAUGCUGUAUCUGCAACAACGUUGUGACCACAUAAUCAUAUCUGCUGGGUAAUGAAGUGUAAAUUCAUUAGAUGAAUAUAACCUUGCAGCAAUAACAUUUAGCUUUAUUCUAAAUCAGAAUCUGCUUUACCGGUAAUGCAAGUCAGAAAACACAAACACACACAGGAGACCGUUUGUAUCAACUCCUUCUAAAAUAGUUUUAUUAUUGGUUCUAAAUACAUCAUCAUGUUUUACCUUUUACAGAGGUAUAAUUAUCUGGAGAAUUUACAAAACAGUCCCAGAGCGUAUUUAAAUUAUUCAGUAGGAUAAACAUGCUGACUUAUAAUAUUCCAUAACUAGCAUAUUAAAUAAAUAGUAGUUCUUUAAUUUAAUAAUAAAUAUCACUUGUGACUGUUAUAUGCUUUAUUAUGCUACAGACUGAGGUGCUUUUGAUGGGAUAUGUACUGUUUUGGCAAAAGCAUAUUGCACAUGUAGAAAUUUCAGUUCUAUGAUAAAGAUUCAACAAACAAGACAGCAGAUUUAGCAUUCAGCUAAUUUAUAUUACAAGCUGUAAUUCAUGCACCAUUCUGAUAUAAAAUGCUUUAUUUAUGUUUAUUUAAAUAAAGGGAAAAUAUUAGGACAUGUUUCUUUCCCCUACUUGAAUUUCCUUCUAUAUAUUUCCUUCUACACUAGCAAAAGUAUGUGGACACUCUUUUUAAUUAGUGGGACUGGAUCAUUUAUAAUCAAUUCCCAUAGCUAACAUUGGCAUAAAAUCAGGCAUACUAAGUAUACUGAAAUGCAUAUAGUGGCAGAAUGGGUCAUACUUCAGUCUGGCACUGUCAUUAAACUUUUUAAUAAGCCGUUUUCAAGUCAGUUCUGCUGCUGUUAUUGUGAAGUGUCUCGGAGCAACAACAGCUCAGCUACAUAAUUCAAUUUGUUACAUGCAAAAAUUAUUGUCCUUGGUUGUGACACUUUUUAUCACAAGCUUAAUGGAUUGGGAGUGCAUGGUCGUUUAGCUUCAUACAGUCCUCUGAUUGGGAUGAACCACCAGCACACAAUCAUUACUCCAAAGCAUUUGGAAGCUUGUUCUUUGGUGUGAUCAAUCACACAUACCAAUCUAACAGUCGAAUAUUGGUUUGGGGAAUGCCAUAAGUAUGCUAUUCCACAGAACAAUGUGUGAUCUUUGGCAACAGUGUAUGUAAUGCCCUUUAUGGGUACCCAGUCUGUAUUUUUACCCAGGAUAUGAAAUCAAAUGUUUACAAGCAUAUAUGAAUAUGAGAUUCGAGUGUCUACAUAUUUUUGGUCAUGCAGUGUAUUUGAAACAAAUCACUUCUGUUUAUUGUGUAUUAAAUGAUGUUAUACAAAGCAGUAAUUACGCCAAAGUACUCAACAAUUAUGGCUUGCAUAGUAUUGUAAUGAAUCUAUUCUAGUAAACGCUAGUAAUGCCUCACAUGCUACCUUUAAUAUUUGGUCUCAUGAACAGUUUAGGGAUAAAGAGACCCUAAAAUGCCACCUUUGCAGUUAAUGAAGCUCAUUUGUGUAUCCUGUAAAUGUAUGUAUCUGUAAAUCUGUUUAGUAUCUGCUUGGCCUUUUGUGCUAUUGCGCUCCAAUAGAUACUUUCAACACGAUGCUGUGGAGGCUUUUUUUUGCCGUGACCUUUUAUUCGAGGCGUUUGAAGUCGACCCCCCGUGGUGACCCCGAGCUGGUGGCAGUCAAAGGGGCGUAUUGGAACACAGAUGGCUCGGGGCAUCACAUCCUGCUGGCACUCCUGGGCACAUGACAGGCCUCAGAAAGGCAGCUGAGGACAGAA